CAGGCAUUUGCUUACUGCGUGGCUCCGGCUGCCUGGUCUUGCUUUUCUUUGGCAGGGGAGGGGGAGAGGGAAAGGGGAGCGUCCCUCUCGGCCUCUCUGGGGCCAGCCAGAACCAGGACAGGACAGGAGGGCCUGUCCCCUCGUCUGGCCCCCAGCCCUCCUCCCCAUGCGGGGGGCCCCUGGGCUCAGAGCAGCUUCCUGUCUGGGGAGGGGUCAGCUUGGCCGCUGGGGGGCUGGGGCGGCGUCCUCUCCUUGGAAUCACAGCUCCCUUUUCCCAGCGACCCCCACGGCCAGAAAAGCAAGCGUUAGCUCAUUGGGUGUGCAGUCUGGCCUGGCCUGUCCUCCAAGUAGAGGAACAAGCUAGAUGAGAAUGCUGUGCUUCGCUGGAUCUCAGAAGAUGAGGCGGUCCCGUCCUGAUUUCACACUGUCUGGAUUUGGUCCUUGCUGGUCGGCUGCUUCCCACUGGAACACAUGCGCCCGAGGGCGGGGACCUUGUCUGGCCUGGUCACUCCCGGCUUCCCAGCGCUCCAGGGGUCAUGGGCACCCACCGGGUAAUUGGCACCUGCUGUUUGGAUGAGCAGACGAGGCUGGCACCCAGACGGAGAUAAAGUCAGCAUAAAUAUUCCACCGAAGUUUCCUGCCUUCCUGCGCUCCCUUCUCCUCUCGCUGCUGCCAGCCCAUUUAUCUCCAUGCUGUCAAUUAGAGGCAAAAGCAAAGAACUAAUUAGGAACUGUGCAAUUUUAAUUAGCUGUUUUGAUAAUUAAACUAAUUGGUUCCCUUGUGUUUCCGCAA